GUUAAAAUGCUCUUAUAGUCAUCCAGGCAAAAGAUAACAACUUAAACUAGGACAUUGGAAGUGGGAAUUAGAAAAGAGGAAAUAAAUGAGACAAUAUAAAAUCAGAAUCAGAAAGCCUGCAGAAAUUGAUUGCAUAUACAACACGAUGAUGGAAGAGACAAAUAUUACUUUGAGGGGUCUAAACUGAAUUAACUAAACAAGACUUAAAAACCAGAAGAAAACAUAGAAGGAGGUUUAGAUAUUUAAAUACAAAUUCAGUGCCAAUGGGAUAUUUUGCUGGAUUUAUCUAAUAUAUUGUUAGAUAUUUAGAUCUAGAGUUCAAGAGGGAGGUAAAGGCUACAGAUAUAUGGAUGUUCUUUUUUUAGCAUAAAGGUAAUAUUUGAAAUAAGAGAUAAUAUAAAAUCAGUUAUGGAAAAAGGUGCAUGAUAAAUGAGGUGGAAAGACACAGACAAGUGAAUAAAUUAUUUUAAGGAGGAGAAACUGAGGUAAAGCCACAGGUUUAGUGAGGAAUUUAAAGGCUUGGAAGAGGUCACUGUGUGUAGUAAUGAAGAGCUUAUUGGUGACUUAAGAAAAAACAUUUCAGGUAAGUAUUAAGCAUGCUUUCUAGAUAUGAGAGGUAAAGUGCUGAGGAGAGGCUGAAAAGUUUGGUAGUGAAAUGAAGUAUUUAACUAUCUCUGUUAAAACAAUAGAGCAUAUAAUGACACAUUAAAGUAGAUAAAGAUGAUAUAUUUACAUACAUAUAUCAGAUGUCAAUAACUUCUAGGUAUAAAUUACAUAUAUUUGUACUAAGGCAGCUGCAAAUCCUUAUUUUAAAAUUUCACUGAAAUUUUACUCUCUUUUUAAGGCUCAAAACGUUUCUUCCAUACUUUUUAAGGCCAUAGGAAAGCUAGAUGAUUCAGCAUUUUCCUCUGGGUUUUCUUUUGAGCUGGUUAUUCUAAUUCCAACUGGCUAAAUAUUCCCAUGGUGUUUGUAUUCUUAUUUAGCUGCUAGUGUUGAGAGAGGGAAGAGAAGGAGCACUAUCCAUCCCCAUCUUUAUGAUUUGUAUAACAAAAGGAAACUCCUAGCUUAGCUCCCUAAGACCUUCUUUUCUUAUGAUUCAAGAUGCUGAAGAAUUUGAUUAUAAAGAACAUAACUGCAUGAUAUUACUUAUCAGAUUAUUUUUCACCAAUUGUGAAAAAAUUACCCAGCUGCCAUUUUAUUUUAUUUCUAAACAUUUUUUUACCACUAUGAGAAUGACUGAUAACGAAUUGUGCAGCUUAUGAAAUAGGUGAAGGCUUAUAUCUUUAAGCACCGAAACUUAAAAAAUUAACUGUUAUGAGGGGGAUGGGAGAGAACAUGUAAAGUAUUCUAGGGUGACUACAGGUUCAUCUGGAGACUUUUUUUAUCCCUCCAAUGAUAAAAUAAGGAAGUGUUCUAAAAUAAAUGUGUGUGUGUUUCAUUUUCUAAUUAUUUCAGUGCUGCUUUAAAUUAUUUGGCACUUUU
rnacentral:lncRNA from 10 species